UUUGCAGAUCCCUCUCAAAUAGUAAAAACUUGGGGUGGUAAAAUAUAUAAAUAUUGUAAUAUAUUGAUUUUAAUGUAUUGAUUUGAUGGUAUCAUUGUGAUAUGUGGUAUCAAAUGUUAGGUUUUUUUUUUUGGCACUAGCAUUUCUCUUAAUAUUACUGUGAAGCCACUUGUGUGAGGAAUGUAUGUCGGACUCGACCCACUCGCCCCACCUCCACCUCCACCUCCACCCCGCCACCACAUUGGCCUCAAGUUUUUCUUUCCUUUUUCUUUCUUUAUAAUUUUUGUUUUGUUUGUUUUGUAACAUUUCGAACAUUACUGUUGAUUAUAUGCAUAAGAGAUUUCUUUAAAAAAUGUGAGGAGUAAAAAGUAAAAGGACUGUUGCAUUGGCCGGGAAUCGAACCCGGGCCUCCCGCGUGGCAGGCGAGAAUUCUACCACUGAACCACCAAUGCUUGUGGUGCUCAGGAGAAACUGACUUCUGGUGUUUCCUGUAUAUCAAAUACUGCAAACGUUGGAAUGUAGUGAAAGCAUACAGAGGUUGUAGUGUGAUUGAUUGAGUGUGUGGACAAUUAUCUUUAUACAGGUAAUGAGUUCAAAUGGGUGCAGGUGAUGAGUGCAGAAUAGGAGGGAUUCUUAAAGAAAAACAAACAGGUCUGAGAGAGCAAGAAUUCUUGCUGGUUGGUAGGUAAUAAAAUACUUAUUUCAUGCUAUAAAAUGCCAAUUAAUUAUUUAUAAAUCAUAUAAUAUGAUUUUCUGGAUUUUUUUAGGUUCUGUCUUUUGCAGUUUAAAGAUACCUACGAUAAAAAAUUACAGAUCUCUCCGUUUUUUGUAGGUGGGGAAACAUGCAAACUCUGCAGCAAAUCAAAUACUUAUUUUCCCCGACCGUGUAACAUAUAUAAAAAUAAUGUAUUAAACAUGUGUUAAGUAUCUCUUUCUCUCUCUCUUUCUCUUUCUCUUUCUCUGACUCUCAGGUAAAACCAAGCCCCAUAGUUAUUGAGCUGUGUGCAGGUAGCCGACCUGCAGGGCUGACUGUCCUGGUCAUCUUACCACAAGCAGUUUCUGGAGUGCCUCCAACCGGCCAUUCUGGCAUCGCCGUGGCCAGCGCCCUUAUUGAUACCUCACAGCUGAAGCCGGGCCACUUCAAAGAUAAGAGUCUCAGACAGCCCCUAGUACAGAACCGCAGCUCUCCUGUUUGAACCGCCCGACUGACCUGGACGCACCGCACCGACCUCGGAUCCUGCCCUGUUUGUUUACCCUGCUCCUCCACCUGCCUCUCAAUUUCCUCCUUCUUCACCACUUUAAGGAAGACCUUGAAGUGUAAAUGACGGGGGGCAGUCUGUCAUUAGUAGUCUGUGUUGUACUUCUUUUAAAUCCCGAGCUCCACAGUGCAUCACAUGCACGCCCUCCUCAAAGCCUCUACAGACCAUAGCUGUGCUUCUCUUUCUUCCUUUCUUUCUUUCCUUAUACUCUUAACUACUCUUAACAAAAGUUAUUGAACACUUGUUGAUUGGGCAUCUGAUUAUUGUGUUAUUAUUAUAAAAAAGUUUUGUUUAGAAACUUUAAAGUUUAUUAAACUUCAGUUUUGCCUCUUGUAAUUCUUUUUUUUUUACAGAGCUUGAUAACAUUAAUUUACAGUCCCCUCCAAAAGUAUUGGAACAGUGAGGCCAAACCCUUUUUAUUUAUGCUGUAGACUAAACACAUUUCAGCUUUUAUUUCCUGAAAUUUACAUCUGAACCCACAAACUUUUCUUGUGAGCAAAAUAUUAGAACAUGUGACCUUCAGGUGUGUGUGUUUUUUUUUGUUACAGUCCAGGUGUCUCCUGUUACAUGAAUUAUUCAAGCAACAAAAAGCACUGAUUGUCUACUCUCAGUUUCAGAUUUGUGUUUUACCUGUGCAGAUUGUGCAUUAACUGUAUGGUUAAAGGAGUAAACAACAUGAAAACCAGAGAGCUCUGGGAGUCUAUGAAUGAAAAACAAGCAACUGUGAAGCUGAAAGUAGAUGGAAAAUCAAUCGACUGACAAAGAGCCAUUGCACAAAUAUUGGCCAUAGCCAGAACAAGCUGUGGAAUGAGCUGAAGAAGAAAGUCGUCACUGGUGUACUAAGUAAUAGAUGUCGAACAGGUAGACCAAGGAAAACAGCAGUGGAAUAAGAAUGAAGGUAAGGCUGGAAUUUACGAAAAUGUACAAAUUUUGUGCUAAUUAGUUCAAUUGUUCAGUUGUUUUUUUAUAAAUAAACAGCCUUAGUUUUUAUAUUGUACGUUCGGU
rnacentral:tRNA from 1 species